rnacentral:rRNA from 1 species
GAUGAACGCUAGCGGCAGGCCUAACACAUGCAAGUCGAGGGAGAAGCCCUUUCGGGGGCAGAAACCGGCGCACGGGUGCGUAACGCGUAUGCAACCUACCUUUCACAGGGGGAUAGCCCGAAGAAAUUUGGAUUAAUACCCCAUAAUAUUAUUGGAUGGCAUCAUUUGAUAAUUAAAACUGCGGUGGUGAAAGAUGGGCAUGCGUCCUAUUAGCUAGUUGGAGUGGUAACGGCACCCCAAGGCUACGAUAGGUAGGGGUCCUGAGAGGGAGAUCCCCCACACUGGUACUGAGACAGGGACCAGACUCCUACGGGAGGCAGCAGUGAGGAAUAUUGGUCAAUGGUCGGAAGACUGAACCAGCCAUGCCGCGUGCAGGAAGAAUGCCUUAUGGGUUGUAAACUGAUUUUAUAUGGGAAGAAUAAGGUGUACGUGUACAUUGAUGACGGUACCAUAUGAAUAAGCAUCGGCUAACUCCGUG